rnacentral:pre_miRNA from 2 species
CAAUUAAGGAACUUGGCAAGAUGUCGGAAUAGCUGAUUGUUUCUUUAUAAGGCUAACAAAAUUUGCGUUUUACGGCUAUGCCUCAUCUAGUCAAUUGCUUUA